ACGGAAGGCAGCAGUGAGGAAUAUUGGUCAAUGGGCGGAAGCCUGAACCAGCCAAGUCGCGUGAAGGAAGGCGGUUCUAUGGAUUGUAAACUUCUUUUGUUCGAGGGUAAAGUGAGAGAUGCGUCUCUUAUUGCAAGUAUCGGACGAAUAAGCAUCGGCUAACUCCGUGCCAGCAGCCGCGGUAAUACGGAGGAUGCGAGCGUUAUCCGGAUUUAUUGGGUUUAAAGGGUGCGUAGGCGGCCUCUUAAGUCGGCGGUGAAAUUUCCGGGCUCAACCCGGUCACUGCCGUCGAAACUGGGGGGCUUGAGUGCGUUUGGGGUGGCUGGAAUGUGCGGUGUAGCGGUGAAAUGCAUAGAUAUCGCACAGAACGCCGAUCGCGGAGGCAGGUCACCAAGCCGCAACUGACGCUGAGGCACGAAAGCGCGGGGAUCGAACAGGAUUAGAUACCCUGGUA
rnacentral:rRNA from 1 species